CAGCAGCCACGGGAAUACGGAGGGUGCAAGCGUUAUCCGGAUUUAUUGGGUUUAAAGGGUCCGUAGGCGGAUCUGUAAGUCAGUGGUGAAAUCUCACAGCUUAACUGUGAAACUGCCAUUGAUACUGCAGGUCUUGAGUAAAUUUGAAGUGGCUGGAAUAAGUAGUGUAGCGGUGAAAUGCAUAGAUAUUACUUAGAACACCAAUUGCGAAGGCAGGUCACUAAGAUUUAACUGACGCUGAUGGACGAAAGCGUGGGGAGCGAACAGGAUUAGAUACCCCCGUAGUCCCUGUCUCUUAUAC
rnacentral:rRNA from 1 species